rnacentral:misc_RNA from 1 species
GAUGAAGAACGUAGUGAAAUGCGAUAAGUAAUGUGAAUUGCAGAAUCCAGUGAAUCAUCGAAUCUUUGAACGCACAUUGCGCCCGCCAGCAUUCUGGCGGGCAUGCCUGUUCGAGCGUCAUUUCAACCCUCGACCUCCCUUUGGGGAAGUCGGCGUUGGGGACCGGCAGCACACCGCCGGCCCUGAAAUGGAGUGGCGGCCCGUCCGCGGCGACCUCUGCGUAGUAAUCCAACUCGCACCGGAACCCCGACGCGGCCACGCCGUAAAACACCCAACUUCUGAACGUUGACCUCGAAUCAGGUAGGACUACCCGCUGAACUUAAGCAUAUCGAUAAGCGGAGGA